GAUGAACGCUGGCGGCGUGCCUAAUACAUGCAAGUCGAGCGAACGGACGAGAAGCUUGCUUCUCUGAUGUUAGCGGCGGACGGGUGAGUAACACGUGGAUAACCUACCUAUAAGACUGGGAUAACUUCGGGAAACCGGAGCUAAUACCGGAUAAUAUUUUGAACCGCAUGGUUCAAAAGUGAAAGACGGUCUUGCUGUCACUUAUAGAUGGAUCCGCGCUGCAUUAGCCAGUUGGUAAGGUAACGGCUUACCAAGGCAACGAUGCAUAGCCGACCUGAGAGGGUGAUCGGCCACACUGGAACUGAGACACGGUCCAGACUCCUACGGGAGGCAGCAGUAGGGAAUCUUCCGCAAUGGGCGAAAGCCUGACGGAGCAACGCCGCGUGAGUGAUGAAGGUCUUCGGAUCGUAAAACUCUGUUAUUAGGGAAGAACAUAUGUGUAAGUAACUGUGCACAUCUUGACGGUACCUAAUCAGAAAGCCACGGCUAACUACGUGCCAGCAGCCGCGGUAAUACGUAGGUGGCAAGCGUUAUCCGGAAUUAUUGGGCGUAAAGCGCGCGUAGGCGGUUUUUUAAGUCUGAUGUGAAAGCCCACGGCUCAACUGUGGAGGGUCAUUGGAAACUGGAAAACUUGAGUGCAGAAGAGGAAAGUGGAAUUCCGUGUGUAGCGGUGAAAUGCGCAGAGAUAUGGAGGAACACCAGUGGCGAAGGCGACUUUCUGGUCUGUAACUGACGCUGAUGUGCGAAAGCGUGGGGAUCAAACAGGAUUAGAUACCCUGGUAGUCCACGCCGUAAACGAUGAGUACUAAGUGUUAGGGGGUUUCCGCCCCUUAGUGCUGCAGCUAACGCAUUAAGCACUCCGCCUGGGGAGUACGACCGCAAGGUUGAAACUCAAAGGAAUUGACGGGGACCCGCACAAGCGGUGGAGCAUGUGGUUUAAUUCGAAGCAACGCGAAGAACCUUACCAAAUCUUGACAUCCUUUGACAACUCUAGAGAUAGAGCCUUCCCCUUCGGGGGACAAAGUGACAGGUGGUGCAUGGUUGUCGUCAGCUCGUGUCGUGAGAUGUUGGGUUAAGUCCCGCAACGAGCGCAACCCUUAAGCUUAGUUGCCAUCAUUAAGUUGGGCACUCUAAGUUGACUGCCGGUGACAAACCGGAGGAAGGUGGGGAUGACGUCAAAUCAUCAUGCCCCUUAUGAUUUGGGCUACACACGUGCUACAAUGGACAAUACAAAGGGCAGCGAAACCGCGAGGUCAAGCAAAUCCCAUAAAGUUGUUCUCAGUUCGGAUUGUAGUCUGCAACUCGACUACAUGAAGCUGGAAUCGCUAGUAAUCGUAGAUCAGCAUGCUACGGUGAAUACGUUCCCGGGUCU
rnacentral:rRNA from 1 species